GACGAACGCUGGCGGCGUGCUUAACACAUGCAAGUCGAACGGUGAACGAGGGAGCUUGCUCCCUCCGGAUCAGUGGCGAACGGGUGAGUAACACGUGAGCAAUCUGCCCCGAACUCUGGGAUAAGCGUUGGAAACGACGUCUAAUACCGGAUACGACGCGGGAGGGCAUCCUCUCCGCGUGGAAAGAACUUCGGUUCGGGAUGAGCUCGCGGCUUAUCAGCUUGUUGGUGGGGUAACGGCUCACCAAGGCGACGACGGGUAGCCGGCCUGAGAGGGUGACCGGCCACACUGGGACUGAGACACGGCCCAGACUCCUACGGGAGGCAGCAGUGGGGAAUAUUGCACAAUGGGCGGAAGCCUGAUGCAGCAACGCCGCGUGAGGGACGACGGCCUUCGGGUUGUAAACCUCUUUUAGCAGGGAAGAAGCGAAAGUGACGGUACCUGCAGAAAAAGCACCGGCUAACUACGUG
rnacentral:rRNA from 1 species